CCUACGGGGGGCAGCAGUGGGGAAUAUUGGACAAUGGGGGGAACCCUGAUCCAGCCAUGCCGCGUGUGUGAAGAAGGCCCUCGGGUUGUAAAGCACUUUCAGUGAGGAAGAACGCCUGGUGGUUAAUACCCGUCAGGAAAGACAUCACUCACAGAAGAAGCACCGGCUAACUCCGUGCCAGCAGCCGCGGUAAUACGGAGGGUGCGAGCGUUAAUCGGAAUUACUGGGCGUAAAGCGCGCGUAGGUGGCUUGAUAAGCCGGUUGUGAAAGCCCCGGGCUCAACCUGGGAACGGCAUCCGGAACUGUCAAGCUAGAGUGCAGGAGAGGAAGGUAGAAUUCCCGGUGUAGCGGUGAAAUGCGUAGAGAUCGGGAGGAAUACCAGUGGCGAAGGCGGCCUUCUGGACUGACACUGACACUGAGGUGCGAAAGCGUGGGUAGCAAACAGGAUUAGAUACCCUGGUAGUC
rnacentral:rRNA from 1 species